AUGACAAACACAAAAAGGAGGAGAGGCACCUGAUAUAUGUUCUCUGGACCUUUUAUAACAUGCAGUUGUUCCUUUGGCCACAUACACACGAAUCUAACAAGAAAAGUCAUACCAUAGACAUCAGUAUGGGAACUGUUUGAAAAGGAAUACCCACAAAUGUUCCCAUGGCAAAACUGGGAGUCCACAAUGUUACCCACCAUGCUAUUGGCAUUGUUGUAAACAAAUUAAGGGGAAUACUCUUGUCAAGAGAUUAAUGUGCAUACUGAGUGUAGUAAGGACUCUAAAGGUUGAGAUAGCGUCUUGAGAAGUGUGAAGGAAAAUGACCAGAAAAAAAGGAAGCCAAAGAGAAAGGUACCUGGGCUUAACUGAGGCGCCAGCCUGUUCUUCUCAGAGAAGCACACUUUCUGAGAACCAAUGGGAAGGAGCCUGAGCUGCCAGAACCUGUUCUCUACUAAUUCAUGCCAUAA
rnacentral:lncRNA from 1 species